CCUGCCUCAGCCUUCCGAGUAGCUGGGACUGCAGGCGCCCGCCACCACGCCCGGCUAAUUUUUUGUAUUUUUAGUAGAGACGGGGUUUCACUGUGUUAGGAUGGUCUCGAGCUCCUGACCUCGUGAUCCGCCCAUCUCAGCCUCCCAAAGUGCUGGGAUUACAUGCGUGAGCCUGCGCCUGGCCAGUUUUCACUAUAUUUUGACUGUAACCUGUCACACAAGGAAUACAACCCUCAGUUACACCAUUGCUCAAGAGGGAAGCUGUGACCUGUUGGUGGACCUGUUUCCCUGGAUUGGAAGUUGUGUCAUUUUAUGAAGAAAAGCAGAGACCACUUAGUGUGUUGUUCCCCUUGCAGGUGCUCUUCAGAACUGGAAGCAUCGUGCUCCUGGGAGCCUUUCCUUCCUCAUACACCCCACUUGUCUCCUGUUUGUACCUCCUCUCCUUUCCAUACUUCCUCUCUAUCUUACCAAACAAACAUGGUAUUGUUUUCCAUUCCUCAUGUUGUGUUACUGGCUCUUUGUGGUCCUGCUGACCUAAAGAUGCUUAACUUACUACUAACAGUCUUCUUUGUGUGAUUGCUGUUUUCCCGUUGGGACACGUUCUGUUCUUGUUAUUUAUGUGCAGGAUGUGAGAUGUAGGAAAAGCCUGUACCCUUUGAUACCCUUUUAAACUUACUUGUACUUCUGUUGAAUUCACCAUCACUGGUACCUUUCUGAAGAACUGACUUUCCAGACAUGAAAACCUUUUCUCUCUGAACUCCUAGAUCACAUUCUAGAUUUCUUAUGGCUUCAUGCCUGUUCUACCCUUGUUUGUUCAUACCUGAUCUCCCCUAGUAGGCUAUAAUCUUCCUGAGGCCAGGACAAAUGUCCUUCUUCUUAGUGUUCCCAUAGUGCUGAUCUAAUGCAGUGAUAUAUACAUUGUGAAUGUGUGAAUUCUUGAAAGUUCAAAAUUGCAUUGAUUCUGUUUCAAUCAAAACCUCUAUAGGAUAUGCAUAGGUAUUUGAUUUGUUUGUCCUCAACCUCAGAGUACAUGUCUCUGUUUCUAACUUCCAAAUCUAAAAAAGAGGAACUCUCUAAAGGCCUUCAAUCUCUAUGGCUUCUCCCCCUUAGAUUUAUUAAGCACUCACUGAAUGCCUGGUGUAGAUA
rnacentral:lncRNA from 10 species